rnacentral:rRNA from 1 species
GACAGAGGGUGCAAACGUUGCUCGGAAUCACUGGGCGUAAAGGGUGCGUAGGCGGACUAUUAAGUCAGUGGUGAAAUCCUGCAGCCUAACUGUAGAAUUGCCAUUGAUACUGAUGGUCUUGAGUACAUUUGAAGUGGGCGGAAUGUGUCAUGUAGCGGUGAAAUGCUUAGAUAUGACACAGAACACCGAUUGCGAAGGCAGCUCACUAAGCCACAACUGACGCUGAUGCACGAAAGCGUGGGGAGCAAACAGG